rnacentral:rRNA from 1 species
UACGUACGAGGCGAGCGUUAUCCGGAAUUACUGGGCGUAAAGCGAGCGCAGGCGGUUUGUUAAGCCAGAUGUGAAAUCCCCGGGCUCAACCUGGGAACUGCGUUUGGAACUGGCAAGCUAGAGUGUGUUAGAGGGGGGUAGAAUUCCACGUGUAGCAGUGAAAUGCGUAGAGAUGUGGAGGAAUACCGAUGGCGAAGGCAGCCCCCUGGGAUAACACUGACGCUCAUGCUCGAAAGCGUGGGUAGCAAACAGG